GACGAACGCUGGCGGCGUGCUUAACACAUGCAAGUCGAACGGAAAGGCCUUUUCGGAGGUACUCGAGUGGCGAACGGGUGAGUAACACGUGGGCGAUCUUCCCUGCACUCUGGGAUAAGCCUGGGAAACUGGGUCUAAUACCGGAUAGGACCGCACUUUAGUGUGUGUGGUGGGAAGUUUUUUCGGUGUAGGAUGAGCCCGCGGCCUAUCAGCUUGUUGGUGGGGUAAUGGCCUACCAAGGCGGCGACGGGUAGCCGGACUGAGAGGUUGGUCGGCCACAUUGGGACUGAGAUACGGCCCAGACUCCGACGGGAGGCAGCAGUGGGGAAUAUUGCACAAUGGGCGCAAGCCUGAUGCAGCGACGCCGCGUGGGGGAUGACGGCCUUCGGGUUGUAAACUCCUUUCGCCAGGGACGAAGCGUUUUGUGACGGUACCUGGAGAAGAAGCACCGGCUAACUACGUG
rnacentral:rRNA from 1 species